rnacentral:lncRNA from 1 species
UGUGGCAAAUGGAAGUUCCCAGGCUAGGGGUCUAAUCGGAGCUACAGCUGCUGGCCUAAGCCACAGCUACAGCAAUGCCAGAUCCUUAACCCACUGAUUGGGACCAGGGAUCGAACCCAUAUCCUCACGGAUUCUAGUCAGGUUUGUUUCUGCUGAGACACAACAGGAACAUCCUCUUGAUAGCAUCUUUGAAACAUAAAACUUUUACAUUUUGAUGAAGUCCAAUUUUAUCUUCUUUUUCUGUUUAUGCUUUUGGUAUUGUAUCUAAGAAACAAUGCCUAAUCCAAGGCCACAAAAAUUAUGUCUAUGUUUUCUUCUACAAAUACUAUACUUUUUUGGGGGGGCCAUACGGCAGCCAGGGAUCUGACCUGUGCCAGAUCAGCAACCCAAACCCCUGCAGUGACAACGCCAGAUCCUUAACCCACUGUGCCACAAGAGAACUCCUAAGAGUAUUACAGUUUUAAGUGCUUAUAUUUAGUUCUAUAAUCCAUUUUAAUUAAUAUUUGUAUCUGGUGUGAGGUAGGGGGGUUAAUUUUGGGGUUUUGCAUGCAGAUAUUCCAUUUUUCCAGCACCACUUGUUAGAGACUAUAUAUUUUCCCCCAUUGAAAAUUAAUGUCAAAAUUAAUUUGACAAAUUAAUUGAUUUGUCAAAGUUAAUUUUGUCAAAAAUAAUUAAUUCAUUAUAAAUGUGAGGGUUUAUUUCUGGUUUCUCAAUUCUAUUCCACUAAUCAAUAUGGCUAUCCUUAUGCCAGUACUAUAGUGUCCUUUUUUUUUCUCCUUUUCUUUUUUUUUUUUAUUUUGUCUUUUUUUGCUAUUUCUUGGGCCACUCCCGCAGCAUAUGGAGGUUCCCAGGCUAGGGGUCUAAUCAGAGCUCAAGUGUGUCAGCUUUUAUGAAAACAUUCAUCAGUAGAGAGAGAGAGAGAAAAAAAAAAAAUCAUAUGAUUUGGGAGAAAACGUGAAGUUAAAGAGCUCUUUAAAAGGAAGUCAUAACAAGAAAUCAUUUGACAAGGAUAAGACUAACUUAACACUAAAAGAAAACGCCUACUAGAUAAUUAGAUAUUUAUCAGGUACAAAUUAUAGUAAAUAUUGGGAAUUCAGUAGUGAAAAGCCCAGUUGCUCACAUAUCCUUAUAGAGCAUUUAGAAUUUAAGAUCAGACUGCCUUACCUACUUUGUAGUAAUUGUGCAGACUUUAUGAAAAAAUUAGGUUUGUCCUACUAAUCUGAGAUCCUCAGGACAUUAAAAAAAAUAUAUUGAUAGGCUAAUAAAAACCCUCAGGCACAGGGCCAUGUUUUUUGGACUGGUUUUAUAAAUUCUUAUGCCAGAAAGAGACACAUCUAAUUUCUCAGAAGUUUGAAUUUCAGCUCUCCUCAUCAUGGACAAUGUGUGAGGUUAUUCUUAAUGACUACAGUUUGUAACUCUAAAUCACAGUGAUAUUCCUUCCCCUUAAUGCUUCUAACUUUUCAAAUGGAGUGUAAAACACAAGCUCAAGGUAUGAUUUUGCUAUACUUUCACUAGCAUCAUAAAGUACUGUGGACACAGAUCUCAAAUUUGGUAACUGCCAGCUUUAGAAGAGGUGCAUCCUUGAUCAUAUAAGAAAUAGUGCAUCUCCAUUGUGGUGCAGUGGGUUAAGGAUCCAGCAUUGUCAUUGUAGCAGCUAAGGUCGCUACUGUGGCACGGGUUUGAUCUCCGGCCUGGGAAUUUCCAUGUGCCACAGGCGCAGCCAAAAAAAUAAAAGAAAUACUAAGGAAUCUCUUACUGGAGACUGAGUGAUCCAAAAGGGUAGAUGCUUAUUAGCAUGCCUUAUGAAAGAAGGCAGUCUAUGACUUCAAGGAGAUUAUUUUCACGGGUAAUGAAGGGGAGUAUGUCAUUAAUACUGGCAAGAGUGUGACAAAGGUUUGGAGGGCACACAUAAAAGUGACAUGGAAGAAUUAAAAGAGCAAGAAGACAUGAUUUUGCAAAGAACGACAAAGAGGAUGACACAGAAGGUUUAGAAGAAAUGUGGGGGAUUUUCAUAAAUUUAGUCAAAGUUCUAAAAUGGAAAACUGCCAACGAUACCAAAACAAGUUAUGGUGAAUAAAGCUUUAAGUAAUAAAAUUCGUACUGAUUCUAAUAAAAGUAAUACACAGCUGCCAUAGUGUCUUUAGAAAGAAACUAUCACUUCAUGAAGGUUUUCCUCUCAGAAUACUGUCUCACAAUAAUCUCCCUUAUUUUCCCUACCAUUUGCCUCUUUCUCCAAAGUUAAUGUUGAAGUGUGACCUUUUCUGUAGUUUAGUACAUUUCAUGAUUUCACCACACAGUCCAAAAUUAUCUGGCAUCACUAUCUUGAAUAUGAAGAUUCAGGCAAGUUCAAAUUAAUGUUUCUACUAAUAAUUCAAUAUAUGUAGUAUAACAGUUGUUUUAGUGGGAGAAUUACAUUAGUUAUGUCUGACUAUGGGAUAAUUUACAUCAAAAGACCAAAGGGGUAAAAUGAAUUUUUUUCAACACAUCUUAUUGCAUUUUAGGGCAAAAAUGAUAUGUUACAUAGGUUAUCACAAACUUAGGAAUUCACAAAGUUCUCCCAUGAAUGUCAAGGACCUAUCUUUUUUUUUUUUU